AACGUAGGACACAAGCGUUAUCCGGAGUUACUGGGCGUAAAGGGCGUGUAGGCGGAUCGGUAAGUCUACUCUGAAAGCUCCUGGCUAAACUGGGAGAGGCGAGUGGAGACUGUCGGUCUAGAGUGAGGAAGAGGAAAGUGGAAUUCCGCGUGUAGUGGUGAAAUGCGUAGAUAUCAGGAGGAACACCGGUGGCGAAGGCGGCUUUCUGGACAGAAACUGACGCUGAUGCGCGAAAGCUAGGGGAGCAAACAGG
rnacentral:rRNA from 1 species